rnacentral:lncRNA from 1 species
GUAUGGGGACUUGAAGUGGCCAUUGAAUGGCGCACUAAUGAGGAGUGCUUUCAGCCCUCACUUCACUCUCUCUCUCCCCUCCUUCGUCCCCAAUUCGACGGAGCUCUCUCUCUCCUCGUUCUCCCUCUCCUCCAGUUUCUGCUCCAGCCGACCCUUCGGUGAAGAAUCAAGUCAAAAGUCGUCUUCCCGGAUGAAUCAUCCAACGAGCCACCUAUAACCGUGACCGGGAGAGAAAGACCGUUCCAACAAGAUCAAUUUCGUCCCGAACGGAGCCUCCUUCCGGCAUGGACGCCUCCGUGAAGGAACCCGUCGCCGGUCCGUCGGUCCGCCUGCAGCCUGCACUGUUUCGCGUUUUCGACCAUUUUUCUCCCAUUCCGGUCCUUCCUCCGCCCAUCCCAACCACCCUCAAGAUCCCCAAGACCCCCGGGAGCCGCCGGUUGCCGGCCAAAUCCCUCGCCAGAGCUCCGGCCAAGCCGUUCAACUCAGUUUCUCCUCCGGCAGGGCUGUUUUUCAGUGUUUUCAGUGGGAGUCCGAGCUGUGGUUGUUGCGUUGAGCUUGGGACCGCCUUGGAUCGCCGUGGUAGAGGUCCCAGAGCAUCGCCUCCGUCGUCGUCGCCGCCGCAUCGGUGUCUCCGGCCCGCUUAACGGGUGAGUUUAGCUCCUAAUCCUUCAAUUAGUGCCUAAACUUGCUUAGGGUUGGUUUAGUUAGAUUUAAUUCUAGUUUAAGUGAUUUAAUUAAGUUGUAUUAGCCCUAAGAUAGGUGGUUAGAUGGAUGGAUUAGAUUAGUCUAGCUUAAUCUUGCUUUAGUUGCUUAAUGUGGUUUAUGUGGUUAAUUAAGUAUGCUUGGCUUUAAUUAAUUGAUGGUUGCUUUAAUUAAUGUUUUUAAUGAUUUCUGAAUUUAAUUUAUAUUUUAUUAAAUUAUGGAUUUUUACUGUUCAUGCACACUAUUCACGAUUACUGUUCACACUGUUCACGAGUACUGUUCACAAAAACACUGUUCACCCGAGAAUGAAAAGUGUCUAAUUUCAUGUGUGUUUAAUCCUAUGAAGUGAUUGGAUGUGUUAUUGCAUAAACAUCUGCAUGAAUUGAGUGAUGAUUUGUGAAGUUGAGUGGUGAUUGUGAAAAUAUGGUAUUUAUUCUGAAAAUCCCGGGUGUCGGGCUUGACAUCGAAAAUGGAUUUUAAUGAUUAAUGAUUAUAUCAAACCGUGGGAUUUGAAAAGGAAAGGUAUUAGCUUUUCUUGUUUGAAAGGACGUGGACCCACACACGACUACUUUCUCAAAUGUUUUUAAUACGAAGGAAAGAGGCCAGGAUUACUAUUUUAAUCGGGGCAUUUGAGUGAAAUGCAAAGUGUCCUGGGCUGAUAUUGAAUUGUUGUGUGUUUGUUAAGAGGAAACCGUCCCGGGCUGUUGAGUUGGAAGUGCCCCUAUAUGGGAUGCCCACGCAAUGGAUGCCGGUCGCAGUAGAGGUUGGGCCAACUGGACCGAUGCUCCUUCGGGAAUGCCGUAGACGUAGUGACGAAGCCGUGCUCCAAGGGGGGAGACGAUGCUCCUUCGGGAAUGCCGUCGACGUAGUGACAAAGCCGUGCUCCAUGGGGGGAGACGAUGCCUGGCAUUAAUGUCAGUAGAUAGCGGAACUACGAGUAGGCUAUGCCAUUGAGUGGCAGUGAAUAACAAUUGGAACACAUGUUGGGUGUUGAAUGACGCACCGGAUUAUAGGACGGAAUUGUAUGGCACGGUAUGGGACAUGUCAUAAUGAUUCGGUCUUAUAAUCAGGAUCCCUGUGAUUAAUUGAGUGGAUAAGACGUUUCAAUUGUUGUAUGCAUUGAAUAUAUGCAUGAUGUUGUUGAACUGUGCUAAUGUGCAAGAAUGCAUGAGAAUCAUGGCAUCUGUGAUUUCGUUCAUGUAUGAGUUAAGCACAUUGUUUAUGGUACGCACGCAUGAAUCGAUAACAUGCAGGGUAUGGCAAUGGCCAGGUGAGAUCGCUUGUGAUGCGACUCAUAUGUAAUUGAUGAAAUGUAUCAUCUAUGCAUUGUGUGUAUCGUGCUGAAUUAUAACAUGCAAGGUAUGGCAUACCAGGUAAGGUUGUAUGCGAAUCGACUGUUGGUUGUUGCUUGUAGUGGGGUAGUUCUGGAUAGAUACCCUGAGUUGAGUUGGUGUACUAACCGGGACUUAGGGGUGGAACUCGCUGAGAUUUAUAUCUCACUGGUUAUUGAAUAACCAUUUUCAGGUCCCUAGUGUGAAGAGCCAGGAGCUUGAAGCAAAAGGGUCAGGAGCAUAGGUCGCUCAGUAGUUCUUUAUGACACAGACCUUCUGUAUAAGCUUGAAGUGUUUAUAAAGGUGUAUUUGAUUUGAAGUUGGUUGUCCUGCUUUUCUAUCCCAUGUUUGUCGUUGUCAGGGGAUUAGUUAAUUCGUUUCCACAUGUGCAAUAAAAUGAAAAUGGUCAGUGACGAGUCCUGGGAACGUCGCGAAAUUCUAUCGACCAGCGAGGGUUGUGCACGCGCUCGAGGUUCGGGGCGUGACAAAAGCACAAUAUAUUGAGAACCUUUUGGACAAUUUUUGCAUGAAUUCCUUUGCAAGAUUGGGUGAUUAAGUUUAAUAAGGAAUCGUGAAGACCAAACAAUGCAAUUGGGG